GCCACCUUAGCUCAGCUGGUAGAGCAGCACUUUCGUAAAGUGAAGGUCCCCGGUUCGACUCCGGGAGGUGGCUCCA
rnacentral:tRNA from 2 species